UACCCAUGCCGAACACAGUAGUUAAGCCCUAGAACGCCUGAAGUAGUUGGGGGUUGCCCCCUGUGAGAUACGGAAGUUGCUUAGCUUAGAUCCGCCAUAGCUCAGUUGGUAGUAGC
rnacentral:rRNA from 1 species